rnacentral:rRNA from 1 species
CCUACGGGUGGCUGCAGUAGGGAAUAUUGCGCAAUGGACGAAAGUCUGACGCAGCGACGCCGCGUGGGUGAUGAAGGUCUUCGGAUCGUAAAGCCCUGUCGAAAGGGACGAAAAACAGGCUGGCUAACAUCCACCUGCUUGACGGUACCUUUAGAGGAAGCACCGGCUAACUACGUGCCAGCAGCCGCGGUAAUACGUAGGGUGCUAGCGUUGUUCGGAAUCAUUGGGCGUAAAGCGCGUGUAGGCGGUUAGUUAAGUCAGAUGUGAAAUCCCUG